AUAAUAGUUCUUCUCUCUUGAAGAACUUACACACAAAAUCUGAACAAAAAGUGAAGCUAAAACUGAAAAAUCAAAAAUAUUCUUAUCGACGUAUUAUGUUUGCUAUAUUUUGUGGUGAGGCAGUAUUGUUAUGGGAAAUGCCGACAUUGAAUCAAGUAUUGAACGACAUUAAGAUGCAGGUGUCAGUGAACGCUACAACAUUGCGCGACUAUGCUGAAGUUAUCCGUCUGUGGAGAAUUCAUCCGGACAUGGUAGUCCCUCUCGCUUUCUAGGAUGCAUAUCUUUUAUAUUCUAUAUUACAUGUAGGCAUGAUAUAGUGGAGGAUCUUCCACCAGCGUUUCAUUCUCACUUAUUUCAGACAUUGUAAAUGUGAAAUAUCUCCAAGUAUAAAUUUUAAUGCAUUUAUGACCUAUUUCAUUCAUUUAUGUAUCUUGGUAUUGCAUGAUUGUUAUGAACGAUUAAAAACUGCUGUAGAUAAAUCUAAUAUGAGUACAAUGUAUCCUGCUA